ensembl:lncRNA
AUGAACGCAUCAGAAAAUAAUAACUAUAUAAAAAAUUCUGUUGAUAAUAUGACAGAACUAGUAAAAAACGAAGAUAAAUAUAAUUGUAACAAUUUGAAUGUUAAGUUAGAGAAAUGUCAAACAAAUGGUGAUAGUACUACACUAGGAGUAAAUGAUUCUUCUAAAAUGUUAUCACAUAUGUCACCCAAUGACAAUAUUUUAUUUUCGAAACAAUCAGGUGAAAAUAUGCAACAACUGGGUGGACAACUGGGUGGACAACUGGGUGGACAACUGGGUGGACAACUGGGUGGACAGCUGAGUGAACAACUGAGUGAACAACCAGAUGACUGGCUUUUUCAAGGUCUAAAUUACGUAAAAUUUUUUAAAGAUGCCGAAAAAAAUAAAUUAAUAAAAAAUGUAUUUGGUGAUUUUAAAUAUGAAAUACAGUUACAUAAUAUACAUUUAUGUUUAUUUUUAUUACCUUUAAAAAAUUAUUUUAUUAAUUUAAAAAAUGGAGUAAAAACAGAAUAUAUUGUUGAAUAUAUAAUUCGCGAAUCGUUAAAGUUUCCAUUAAAAUAUUCAAAAUUCUGUGUUUCUAUUUAUGAAGGUUUUCAACCUUUAUAUGAAUUGUAUACAAAUGAUACUAUUUUUUCUGUUUUACAAAAUAUGAGUGAUGAGAAAGGAAGUGGUCAUAUAGACGAAACAUAUGGUGUUCGAAAAAGUGAUGUCGGUGAUAAGGAUAAUGUCUGUGAUAAGGAUAAUGUCGGUGAUAAGGCUAAUGUCUGUGAUAAGGAUAAUGUCGGUGAUAAGGCUAAUCUGAGCAAGGAUAGUAACAGUAAAACUAAUAAUUCAACGCGUAUAAUAGGCGACAUAGUUUUAUUUUUAAAAAAAGUUGGAGAGAAUUGGAAUUUAUUAUUAUUAGUUUUUUAUAUAUUUCAAAAAUAUAAUGAAAUAAAUAAUAACUAUAUAACAUGGAUUAAAAAUGAUAUAUAUUUAUCAGAUUUUGUUAAAAAAUUAUAUCAAUAUAUUUUAAAAAAUAAAUUACAAGAUAGUUAUAAAAUCAAGCCCUUUUUAAAAUGGCCAGACAUAAAACAUAACUUUCCUGAUAUUCCUUUGACUCGGAUAAAUGAAAUUUACGAGCAAAUAGUUAGAAACAAAAAAAAAAAAAAAUAAAAUAAUUAAACAUAUAAAAAAUGUAUUCUUCUAUAUGAAUAUGGAUGUGUAUAUGAAUGUGUAUAUUAAUAUGAAUAUUAAUAUGAAUAUUAAUAUGAAUAUUAAUAUAAUAGAAUAAAAAAAAUAAAAAAAAACUUAAAAAAAACUUA